UGGCUCAGAGGUUAAGAGCGCUGGCUAGUCUUCCAGAGGUCCUGAGUUCAAUUCUCAG
rfam:Mesocricetus auratus contig040661, whole genome shotgun sequence.